rnacentral:rRNA from 1 species
UGCGUAGGUGGUUAAAUAAGUUAGGUGUGAAAGUCCCGGGCUUAACCUGGGGAUUGCGCCUGAUACUGUUAAGCUAGAGUACUGUAGAGGAGAGUGGAAUUUCCGGUUGUAGCGGUGAAAUGCGUAGAGAUCGGAAGGAACACCAGUGGCGAAGGCGACUCUCUGGACAGUUACUGACACUGAGGCACGAAAGCAUGGGUAGCAAACA